AACGGGUGAGUAACGCGUUGGUGAUCUGCCUCGAAGUGUGGAAUAACGUUCCAAAGGGACGCUAAUACCGCAUGUGCUCAAGGUUUUUUAGAAAGCUUUGAGUAAAGGAUUUAUUCGCUUCGAGAGGAGCCUGCGUCCCAUCAGCUAGUUGGUAAGGUAACGGCUUACCAAGGCCUAUGACGGGUAGGGGACCUGAGAGGGUGGCCCCCCACAAUGGAACUGAAACACGGUCCAUACACCUACGGGUGGCAGCAGUAGGGAAUAUUAGAAAUGGGCGAAAAAGCCUGAUCUAGCGACACCGCGUGUGCGAUGAAGGCCUUCGGGUUGUAAAGCACUUUUUGGAAGGUAAUAGGAAGGAAGGUACUUCCAGAAUAAGUCUCGGCUAACUACGUGCCAGCCGCCGC
rnacentral:rRNA from 1 species